AUACGUAGGGGACGAGCGUUGUCCGGAAUUACUGGGCGUAAAGGGCGCGCAGGCGGAUAUUUAAGUCAGCUGUAAAAGGCAUGAGCUCAACUCAUGUAUGCGGUUGAAACUUGGUAUCUAGAGUGCUGGAGAGGUAGGCGGGAUUCCCGGUGUAGCAGUGAAAUGCGUAGAUAUCGGGAAGAACACCAGUGGCGAAGGCGGCUUACUGGCCAGCAACUGACGCUGAGGCGCGAAAGCCAGGGGAGCGAACGGGAUUAGAUACCCCGGUAGUCCUGGCCGUAAACGAUGAAUGCUAGGUGUGGGUGUCGAGAGGCAUCCGUGCCGGAGUUAACGCGAUAAGCAUUCCGCCUGGGGAGUACGAUCGCAAGAUUGAAACUCAAAUGAAUUGGCGGGG
rnacentral:rRNA from 1 species